rnacentral:rRNA from 1 species
CCAACAGGGAUUGCCUCAGUAACGGCGAGUGAAGCGGCAAAAGCUCAAAUUUGAAAUCUGGCACCUUCGGUGUCCGAGUUGUAAUUUGAAGAAGGUAACUUUGGAGUUGGCUCUUGUCUAUGUUCCUUGGAACAGGACGUCACAGAGGGUGAGAAUCCCGUGCGAUGAGAUGCCCAAUUCUAUGUAAAGUGCUUUCGAAGAGUCGAGUUGUUUGGGAAUGCAGCUCUAAGUGGGUGGUAAAUUCCAUCUAAAGCUAAAUAUUGGCGAGAGACCGAUAGCGAACAAGUACAGUGAUGGAAAGAUGAAAAGAACUUUGAAAAGAGAGUGAAAAAGUACGUGAAAUUGUUGAAAGGGAAGGGCUUGAGAUCAGACUUGGUAUUUUGCAAGCCUUACCUUCGUGGUGGGGUCCCCUGCAGUUUACUGGGCCAGCAUCGGUUUGGAUGGUAGGAUAAUGACUUGGGAAUGUGACUUUGCUUCGGUAAAGUGUUAUAGCCCUUGUUGAUACUGCCUGUCUAGACCGAGGACUGCGUCUUUGACUAGGAUGCUGGCAUAAUGAUCUUAAGUCGCCCGU